GAAAUGCGAUAAGUAAUGUGAAUUGCAGAAUUCAGUGAAUCAUCGAAUCUUUGAACGCACAUUGCGCCCCCGGGUAUUCCCGGGGGCAUGCCUGUUCGAGCGUCAUUACAACCCUCAAGCGCAGCUUGGUCUUGGGCCACGCCGGAAACGGCCGACCUUAAAACUAGUGGCGGCGCCGUCGGGCUCUACGCGUAGUAAUUUCACCUCGCGUGUGAGUUCCGUCGGUCGCUGGCCAGCAACCCCCAAUUUUAUACUGGUUGACCUCGGAUCAGGUAGGGAUACCCGCUGAACUUAA
rnacentral:misc_RNA from 1 species